UUACUGAGUUUACGCUCUACAACCCUUUGUGAACAUACCUACAACUGUUGCUUCGGCGGGUAGGGUCUCCGCGACCCUCCCGGCCUCCCGCCUCCGGGCGGGUCGGCGCCCGCCGGAGGAUAACCAAACUCUGAUUUAACGACGUUUCUUCUGAGUGGUACAAGCAAAUAAUCAAAACUUUUAACAACGGAUCUCUUGGUUCUGGCAUCGAUGAAGAACGCAGCGAAAUGCGAUAAGUAAUGUGAAUUGCAGAAUUCAGUGAAUCAUCGAAUCUUUGAACGCACAUUGCGCCCGCCAGCAUUCUGGCGGGCAUGCCUGUUCGAGCGUCAUUUCAACCCUCAAGCUCUGCUUGGUGUUGGGGCCCUACAGCCGAUGUAGGCCCUCAAAGGUAGUGGCGGACCCUCCCGGAGCCUCCUUUGCGUAGUAACUUUACGUCUCGCACUGGGAUCCGGAGGGACUCUUGCCGUAAAACCCCCCAAUUUUCCAAAGGUUGACCUCGGAUCAGGUAGGAAUACCCGCUGAACUUAAGCAUAUCAAUAA
rnacentral:misc_RNA from 1 species